UUUUAUGUACCUCAGUGGUUAGAGCGUCUGACCGGUGUGCAGAAGGUCACUGGCUCGACUCCUGUUGGGAGAA